GAUGAAGAACGUAGCGAAAUGCGAUAAGUAAUGUGAAUUGCAGAAUUCAGUGAAUCAUCGAAUCUUUGAACGCACAUUGCGCCCGCCAGUAUUCUGGCGGGCAUGCCUGUUCGAGCGUCAUUUCAACCAUCAAGCCCCAGGCUUGUGUUGGGGACCUGCGGCUGCCGCAGGCCCUGAAAACCAGUGGCGGGCUCGCUGUCACACCGGGCGUAGUAGAUUUUAUCUCGCUCAGGGCGUGCUGCGGGUUCCGGCCGUUAAAAAGCCUUUUUUACCCAAGGUUGACCUCGGAUCAGGUAGGAAUACCCGCUGAACUUAAGCAUAUCAAUAAGGGAGGA
rnacentral:misc_RNA from 1 species